ensembl:lncRNA
GGGACUCUUCUCUGAGGUUUGGGAUUUAUUGUGUAGGUUCUCUGAAAUGGCCGUUCAAGGUAAAACUGUAAUGAGAAGGGUUAGGCCAAAAAAUCUGGGGCCCCAUACUCAGGAUAUAAAAUGUGACGAUCCUUUGUCCUCAGCUAUAGUCUUUUACCAUACAAUUCCAGAACCACUGGAAAAACUCCUACUUGUCAUUUUGUUACAUUUGUAACCUGUGGAUAAUUACACAUGGUACUCUCUCUGUUUCACAGAAGUAUCAUGAGGAUCAAAUGAAAAAGUGAUUAUGAAAAUAUUUUUAAAACUGUACAGCACUGCACAAAUGUCAGGGUUUUUUUUGACCUAAUAGUCUUGAGAAAUUUUUCUGUCUCCUUCCCCAUUCUUUGUAAUUCUGGUCUUGUUGGAGAAAAUGAGGCCUCUUCACUUCCCUGUAAGUAUUUAAUUGUUGGCCAUGUCGCUCUCAUUUCUUUUAUGAGCAAUGGUAGUCAGGCCUCCUUUGGUUGUGAAUAAUAGAAACUCAUCCCAAACUCAUGUAAACCAGAAAUAGGGGAGCCACAGAAACAAAGGAGGGGCUGUAGGAAGCAGGGCAUCUGGGACUAAAACAAGAGAGGUGACACUUUCUCUGCGGCUUUUUUUUUUCCUGUUGUGAUUCUCUUUUCUGCCAGUCUUCAACUUUGCUCUAGUGCUAGCUGGUUCUUUCUACUCAGGUGAGGCUAUUAUCAUGUAACAGAGAACAUGGCUACAAGCACAGAUGGGUUAACAACUCCUGAGGAAGAAGACAACAUCUUUCUCCCCACUGUGCAUAUCUGAAUCCCAGAGCUGCAAUGUGAUUGGACCAGAAGGAUGAGGCCAGGUCUGGGUCAUGUGAUCACUUCUGAAGAAUAGUUAGCAGCUCUGGGAGUACAUACCACAUGACCAGAAGAAAGAAUAUCGGAAAGCUUGUUCAGAAGACCAAAGAGCUAACUAAGACUUCCAUAGGAAUCACCCGGGCUUCAUGAUUAAAGAUGUCUUGGAAUACAAAGGAGCCUUGGGGACAGAGAUUAUGUACAGUAAAGCAACAAAAUAGAAGGAAGCUCGAUAAUUGCACUGAAGAGCAUAUACAAGUCCACACUCACUUCCUUCCAGACGAUCAAACAGAAAAGGAAUAUUUGAUGUGUUGAAGUCACUUUUGGGGAUUGCAGGGAGGUACUUUCUAUGACUUGCAGUUAAGCCAAAUCUUAAUUAAUUAAGAUGGUAUUUCUUAAAUUUGAAGAGAAGAUUCUAAGAGUAUAAAUUUUGUUGCAGGGAAUUUUGAAAAAGAUGUGUUCCACUCUGCUAGGACUACGAAAUUUCUUACCUGUUCGUUCAAGUAAAAGUGUGGAAGAGUUGGGAGACGGAUACUGAUCCUAUGUGGAUAAAGAUGGCUGUGGAUGUUUCCACUUCAGACCUUUGAUCCCAAUGUCUCCUUCUGAAUGUCCUCAACUCCUUCAACUUGCCUCUGGAUGACUGGUGCCUACUCAUCCUUCUGCAUUCAGCUCAAGGGUCAGCAUCUCCAAGAAAACUUGCCCUUCACCUCUCUCCAACCUUAUGGUGGCUUUAGCAUCCAAAAUACCCAGCUCUCAUCUCCAUCACUAUACUUAACCCUACAUGAACAUUCCAGAACUCUGAGGAAUCCCCAAAUAGAUGAGAAUUGCUGCCAAGAAGCUUGGAGUUGAACAAGAUGUUUCACUACAGUAUAUAGCAAAUUUCCUUACAAAUUUUGAGGUGAUCUAAUCUUGGGAGAAGAGAAAAGGAAGGCAAGUAGCAACUUUUAUAAAAGUUAAGUAGUAUCAUUUUUUUUGGUACGGGGGAUCGAACUUGGGACCUUGUGCUUGCAAGGCAGGCGCCGGAACCACUGAGCUAAAUCCCCUGCCCUAGUAUAAUUUUUUUUUAAAAAGCAAGCAAAGCAAUAUUUUACUGGAUAGAAGUUUGUAUAAUUUCUGAUUUUAGGUGAAUUCUGCUCCAUAUAGAAAGCAAGGCAAUUGAGCCUAUAAUAUUAGGUUCCUUUUCUUUGAGAAGGCCUGAGGGAGAAAGAAGCCAAUGAGAAAAGUUCUUGCCUUUGACACAGUGAUUCUUGUAGGCUGAGUGAACAAGUACACACCUUAAGCUCAUGGGCAGGAAAAGUGAAGGAAUGUUCUAAGAGCUAAACAUCAGUUUCUGAGAAUAAAUAUGGUUGACUCAUUCUUAUAUUUUGGAUGAAGUCUUGGAAACAAACCAAAUUCUUUUGACUUUCUCUAAUCCUUUGCUUGGAACCUGCCCAGAACCACGUAAGAGAAUGACUAAUCUGCAUCUGGUAGACACAUAGACUAUGAGAAACCUGCUUGGACUAAGAUGGAACCCUAAUGUGACUUGUAUGAACCGUGACUUAGAAAAUAGAGCAUUGGUUUGGAAAACAGUCCAGUAGUUCCUCCAGGGGUGAAACACUGUUGCCGUUCAACCUACCAAUUGGACACCUAGGGACCUGCCUUCUUUUUGUCCACUUCACCUGACAACUUUCAUUAGUCCAGUAAAUGAAUUAAAGAAGAGAAAUAAAUUGUUUCAUGUUCUUAAAGCAAGGGUCAUCCAGAAUCUACUAAUUAUACUGAACUCUGUUUUUUGUCUCUGCUUCUUCUUUUACACUUACAUAUCUAUUUUUACAAGUAUAUUAAUAAAUACCACUUUUGUACUAAAAUAACAUUUUAUCUGAUUAAGAAUAAUAUCUAGUGUUGAUUAGUAAAAAUACAGGAAAAAUUCAUAAACCUAGUAUCCAAAAUGAACCACUGUUAAUAUUUUGUUACUUUAUUCUUUUGCUCAGGGUGUAUUUGCAUAGAUCUACA